CAUGCAAGUCGAGCGAGAAAGUUCCCUUCGGGGAGCGAGUACAGCGGCAAACGGGUGAGUACCACGUGGGGUAACUUGCCUUCGGGUGGGGGACAACCUCGGGAAACCGAGGCUAAUACCGCAUAACGUUAUGCUUUCGCAUGUUAGCAUAACCAAAGGGGGGGAUCUUCGGACCUCCCGCCUGAAGAGAGGCCCGCGCCUGAUUAGCUAGUUGGUAGGGUAAUGGCCUACCAAGGCGAUGAUCAGUAGCCGGUCUGAGAGGAUGGCUGGCCACACUGGGAUUGAGAUACGGCCCAGACUCCUACGGGAGGCAGCAGUCUAGAAGCUUCGGCAAUGGGCGAAAGCCUGACCGAGCGACGCCGCGUGCAGGACGACGGUCUUCGGAUUGUAAACUGCUUUCGACAGGGAUGAACGGUAAGGAAGUUAAUAACUUCUUUAUUUGACAGUACCUGGAGAAGAAGCCCCGGCUAACUCCGUGCCAGCAGCCGCGGUAAUACGGAGGGGGCAAGCGUUGUUCGGAUUUAUUGGGCGUAAAGCGCGUGUAGGCGGUAGAGUAAGUCGAAUGUUAAAGACCCACGGNUCACCCGGGGGAAUGCGUCCGAUACUGCUUUACUUGAGUGCGGGAGAGGAAAGUGGAAUUCCUGGUGUAGCGGUGAAAUGCGUAGAUAUCAGGAGGAACACCGGUGGCGAAGGCGGCUUUCUGGCCCGCAACUGACGCUGAGACGCGAAAGCGUGGGGAGCGAACGGGAUUAGAUACCCCGGUAGUCCACGCCGUAAACGUUGGAUACUAGGUGUGGGGAAGGUUUUUCUACCCGUUUCGGUGCAGUAAGCUAACGCAAUUAAGGUAUCCAGGCCCUGGGGAGUACGGCCCGCAAGGUUGGAAACUUCAAAAGGAAUUGACGGGGGCCCCGACCAACGGUUGGAGCAUCCGUUUAAAUUGGAGGCAACGGCGAGGAACGUUACAGGACUUGGAAAUACCG
rnacentral:rRNA from 1 species